AGUAACCUGAACCAGAGUAAAAACAAGACUACCAUGUCCAGCCAGCAGAAUGCUAUAAUAUGCUAUGAUGACUGGAAUCCUUGUUAACCAAUUCCAGCACCCACCUGUCACCUCUCCCUUGAGACCAGCAUGAAGGUCGAAGUUCACACCACCUCUGCAGACUCAUUUCAUCCCUCACCUGUCCAUGGUCACCUGUGUGAUUGCCCGGGCCAGAAACAAAUACCCAAAUGCAGCAUUUGAGAGAUUUCUACUUGUCUGUUGCCUCCUCGAGAACAGCACGUAACUGCAAUGCAGCCUGUACAGGAGGACAGAGGGAAGGAAAAGCCAGAGCCAGGUCUUGAGCUGAGGAGGGCAGAGUCUUGUGGACGGCCCUCAGGACUGGGUGAUGCUGUGAGGGAGCAUGAACCCCGUGUCCCCAACGGUUCUGAGCGCUACUCGGCCGUUGAGUCGGAUCACCAGGUGGGUGAUGCUGCCAUUGUUGAGGGAGCAAUGGAGCCAGCCUUCGGGAGGAAACUGCAGCGCUGUGCCCUGUCAUCUGCAGCGAAUGACACUGGCGUGACAUCGGAAGAUCGCCUAAUUAUCCUCCCCGUGCUUGGCAUUCCCCGAGGGAUGCAGUUUCGGAACGCUCCCUCGAUCCGGACUCCAUCUUCAUAGCACUCCCAGCGGGCGC